GCCAGGCGUGGUGGCGGGCGCCUGUAAUCCCAGCUACUCGGGAGGCUGAGGCAGAGAAUUGCUUGAACCCAGGAAGCAGAGGUUGCAGUGAGCCGAGAUCACACCACUGCACUCCUGCCUGGGUGACAGAGCGAGACUCCGUCUCAA
rnacentral:SRP_RNA from 2 species